rnacentral:lncRNA from 1 species
CGGCUUCCUUGAUGGCCUCGACGAGCUUGAGCUGGAGGAGGAUGUUAUGCGACCGGAAAUGAACCCCCGACAUGGUACAUAUCACAACAUCAACGAGCUUCACCGCUCGAACAAGGCUCUCGUGGUCAGAGAAGGAGGCCUCGACAAGGUGGGCGCCCUGUUUCUUGAAAGACAACAAGAGCUGGAGCUUUUCGAUGUCGAGGCCAGUCUCGGGUCGCUUGAGAACAUAAGUGUCGUGGCCAUGUUCGAGGCUAGCCUUGACGAUCCGCUUGCCUAUGUACCCGGUACCUCCCACCACCAGCACUCUGCACUGCCUCAUGAUCGACCGAUUUAGAAAGUGGGUUGGAUUUCUUUGAUCAGAGUUCCUUAUGAUUAUGAUCAAAUUCUUUCUCUCUGUGGGAUUUGGGUAAUGUGUUGGAUGUAUUUAUAGAAGGGGAAACAGCGGUUCGGUUCGGUUCGGUUCAACAACAUGGAGCUCUCCCACCAACCGGUUGGACGGGGAUGGGAUUGUUUCCGUUUGUUUCACAUUUAAGCAAUAGGAAUCGAAUAACAAAAGACUGUUAAGACUUGAGACAAAGAAUUAAAAUGUGAAUGUUUUGGAUUAUUGUAAAAAUGGAUGGGAUUUUGAGAGAACUGAAAUUUCGGUUUAAGAGAUUUUGGCACCAACAUGAUUUUUUUUUUUAAUUAUGAGAGUUUUUUGUACUUUUUAUUGAGUGUGGCUAACCGCUUUGGUAACUGUCGUACAUGUUGUCUGAUAAGAGGGACAGAUUCCACAAAUGAAAUUACAUGAAUCGCCGACACUUUACAAAAUAAAAACUGUUUCAAUUCUUUCUCUUCAUUAAAACUAUUUGACAAGGAGAGAUAGAAAUCGAGAUUACUAACGAAAAAAGCAAAGCAAAACAAAAAACAGGACGAAAAGAUUUAAAAACGAAACUAGAAAAAAUAAUACGUUUUGUUGGAGUCGUUGGGGCUAUUAUUAAUCAGUCGUUUGGGCUACAAGUUCCACGAAAUUACAUGCAUAUAUUCCAAUAAGCGUCGAGAAUUGGUUGUUAGUUUCUGAGAAAAGAGAAGAUUACCCACAUUUUUCUUAGCAUUCUUUAAAAAGAAAGUGACAACCCAUCUAAUUAAUCUCUUGUUAUCUUGCUAGAUUAAGCUAACAAUUCUCUUAACGUAUAUCGUUUGAUAUCAAAUGAAUUAAAAAUUUAUUUUAUUGAAUUAUUUGUAGAAUUCAUUUUCAAAUUAAUUCCUAUGUUUAAAAUGUUAUAUUCAAUUUUUAAAAAUAAAUUGAAUUAAAUUCCCAAAUUAUAUUUGGUAUACGAUUCAAAAUUGAAUUAAAUCAAAAGUUUUCACAUGUAUCCUUUCAACACACUAGACAUUACUAUUCCUCGUUGAGUGGAAGAGUUUAUUAAGUUAAUAACUAUUUCUAUUUUAACACUUUUUCCCCAUACCCCGACAUAUACUAAAAAAAUAAUAAAAAUUAACAAAAACGAAUGCAUUUGAUGACAGCUAUAAUAAUUAAUAUAGAAAAUGUGAUCGUUAUUGAAUGAAGAAGAAUAAGAAAGGAGAUAUCUAACCUUUUUUAGAUUGGUGCUUUGUUGUCGGCAACAAAAAUGAGAAGGUUUAAGCAAAUAAAUAGUCGGUCAACUCUAAUUAUAUAUAUUAGGUUUGAUGGUUAUGAUGUUAAUUUAAUUAUUAGUUGAUGGUAGAUAAGUCAUUUUAAUACCAUUUUAACGUAAUUAGUAUAUUUUUGUGAAAUUCAUUUCAAAAUACCUAAUAAAUUCCACGGAAUUGCUAACACUAGCAUCAAUCUCGCGGAAUUCAAAAUUUAAAAUUGAAAAUGAAUUCCUUUACAAACCAAACACAAAAACAUUCAAUUCGAAAUGAAUUUUAUAAAAAAUUUAGAAAUUCAUUUAUACCAAUCAAGAGUAUUGCUUUUGUAAAAUUUCAUAAUUUUUGUAUCACAUAAUUUUUGUAUCACAUAGCAAGCGUAGUUGGUUCGCAACCAUCAUGAACACAAGCAAGAACAUCCCUAUACUCCCUUUCAAUCGUGAACCAAUCAUAAACCUUUCCAUCGCUACUCCUCUUAUACUCUAACAACAACGACGAGUGAUUAUAAGCCGUCAGCUUCACAAAUCCGUAAUCUCGAUCCCUGUAAACGCUCCAGUACGUCUGCAGCGGACUGAAAUCCGAUAAAUGGCUCCCUCCGCCUCCGACCACAACAUGUAUUGUUCCGUUGACAGUGCCAGAAUAGUGCGUCUUCUCGUUGUUCACGCAUAUGUUCUGGUAUAUGGGGCAGCUCCUCUCGUAGUUAUGGACGUGGCCGAAGAAGGCUAUGUCCACUUUGUACUUCUGCCAUAGCUUCUGCAUGUCGUCUCUUCCCAUUGGCUCAUCGAACGAGCCUUGCGAUGCGUAGAAAGUGCUGGAAGAGUAGCCGAGGACUCGGUGUGCUAUGAAGAUCAGCCAUGGCUGCUUUUGUCUGUCGGCCGAUGCUAGGCACUUUUCGAUGUGUUUGUAUUGUUCGGAGCCUUGUCUCCAGUCGUGUUCCGUGUCUGCUAUGCAGAAAUGGAACAUUCCGUAAUCUGUUUCGUACCUGUGGAGUGGAAUGUAAAUCAGUAUAUUACUCACUAUACAAACCUGCUGCUGUUAUAGCUAGUUAUUGUUUAGAGAUGUAUACAGUACUGACCAAAACUUAGCUCUGUUAUCUGCUGGAACGUAGAACAUUGUCUCGGCCACCACUCCACAUUCACCGCCUGAAUCAUUCGUGUCGUAAAAGGAUCCCGAACCAGGGUAGUCACGUUCAUGAUUCCCACUGCAAAUAAAAGAAUGAAUAUUGCGAACCCCAAACAAACAGCACAAGCUCGAUCGUAGAAGCAUUUCGGUUCAUAAAGGACAAACCUUGCGACCAUGUAAGGCACGGUUGAAGCUAUAGGCUCGACCAUUUGUGUGAAUUGAUCCCAUUGAGAGAUGUAUCCAUUGGCAUAUGAAAGAUCUCCUAUAUGGAAAACUAUGUCAUAGUUGUCCAAGUCAUUGAUGAGUGUAUCUGUUGUGUUGAGUGACCCUGGCUGGUAAUUGCUGUAUUCAUUCGAACCGUCACGUUCAGCCUAAUAAGAUUAAACAAGAUAAUCAUCAUCAUGCACAUGUUUCAUGAUCAUCCAGAACUUAGGAAGUUCGUAAUUAGUCGUUACCUUCCCCAUAUCACCGAAAAUUAUUACGCGUUGCAACGAAUCCUGUCCCGGAUAAGGAGACGAUUUGAAAGAAUGGAUCUUGCUCCAGAUAAUGGAGCCAUUAUGCAGCUUAUGCCCUAGCUGGUAUGUGUACCUGAUAAUCAAUUUUCCCAACAAUUUGAGCUUAAUUAAAGCUGUUUACUUGAAAGAAAGAGAAUUCGAAUUCUUACACGGAGUUUGGCCAGAGAUCUUUCAUGAAAGUGGUGUGGAAGAAACCAGGAUCACGCCAGCCAACUGUUCUAGCAGGUGGACCUUCACAAACAUUUCAAAGUUUGCAACUUUAAAACGACAUAAAGAAACAAAUAACAGAUAGUAAUCUGUUAUAUAUGAAGAAUCCAUACCACACAUGCUGUUUCUAGUAAAAGUGAGUGUUCCAGCGGGUGAUUGAGUAUGUGCUUCCCCUUUGAGACCCCAUUGAACAAAAGGAACAGCUUCAUCAAUGUUGUAGCCGCUCGUCCAUGUCACAGUCAUCUGCAUUAUAAAAUAGUUUAAUAAAGAGAUCGUAGCAGGAAAUCCAUGGUAUAAUAACUGAUCUACGUACUUCAUUCCAAGAUUUUCCCAGAGCAAGACGAGGAUAAAGGGGCGCCUUUGGGUUGGCGAAGCUAAUGGGUUGUGACAUUGCCACCAGUUUUGGCUGCACAAUGAAAAUGAAGCAAGUUCAGUUCACAAAUCAAUCCAAAGUAUGAAUCUUUUGAGAAAUCGAUCUUAAUUAAGACUUGUGCCUUAUUACAUUUGAGAGUCCACCGGUAAAGAGGGCAAAGGAGAAGUCUUGGCGCUGGUUGAUGAGUUGAAACUUCAAAGACCCGUUUCCUGUGCUCUCAUUCGCCCAUUUAUACUUAAUGGGAGCAGAACAUAUGUAUGGCGGCUGGACUCUCCUUUCAUCACCUGCUGGACAGGAUGACGAGCUAUUUUUCCAUAUCCACCAACAAACAACAAGGAUUUUAGUGAUUCAAAAUUGGGGGGAGCAGAAAAGAAGAGAGAGAGCUUUGAGAAAGUUGAUUACUUGAAAUUGGAAGGAGAGAAGACGGCAAUCCAAGCAUCAUCUCCUGAGUGGCCGCCAAAAUCCACAUACACCCAUUGAGUGUCUUCUCCGUUGGUUCCGAGAAGUGCAGGGGCUGGCUUAAUUGAAGCCGUGUCCUGAAGAGCAAACACAGCAUUGUGGAUUCCUAUCUGGGUUAAGGGCUGGCUAAUACUUGCAGAAGCUCUACCAUCAUUCAACAACAACAACAACAACAAUGGCAGCAGCAGAAGAAGAAGACCCGCCAAUUCCAUCUUUCAAGCUGCUUGCUUCAGAAGGUUCCCUGCAAACUCUUUUUUGCAGACAAUUUGUUUAAAUUGUUGGGGUAGGAAAGGAACGAAGGAAGAAGACAUAUGGCAAUCAUCGCCGCCUUCCUUCCUCAACAUUGGUUUUUCCACAACAGAAGCCACAAAGCUUGGGGAGCUAGGUUGUUCUUUUUGUCGGCUUGGACAAAUUUGUGGAAUUGGGUAAUCCAUCCAUUUGGGAGUCUGCUGAUACGUUUUGCAUUCUCAUUUGCUUAAUUGGCCUUUCUAACCAGCCGGCUGGAAGUUCGAUUACACUAAUUUUAGGCUUAAUACUCCAAAAUAACAUCUGACUUAUGCAGAACCGCCCUAAACGGCUUUAAAGAUUUAUGUUUACAUCGCUUCAAUAAAUUAUAUGUGCAGAUUGGGUAUAUCGUGAUUUAACACGAAAACCUUUCAGUUAUAUAAGGUUCUGAUAUCAUAUCAAAAAUCAUUACAUCUUAAUAAUUCGAAUUACUGAGAAACGAUUUUAAUUAAUAUUUAUAUAUUCAAAAUAGCAUGGAAGCGAUGAACCAAUGACUUACUACAAAAAUUUGUUUAUUAUUUAUUGAAUCACAUACCUCUAGUUUCAUAUUUUCAACCUUCUGAACAGUUUUGGGAACUACAUAAUCAUUAUUCUUUAGACUAUGUAUUAGAAUGUUCGGUACAAUUUGGAUAUAAUGAUUUUUUGUUUAUCACAAUUCAACUUAUUAAUAGUUUAAUGANNNNNNNNNNNNNNNNNNNNNNNNNNNNNNNNNNNNNNNNNNNNNNNNNNNNNNNNNNNNNNNNNNNNNNNNNNNNNNNNNNNNNNNNNNNNNNNNNNNNNNNNNNNNNNNNNNNNNNNNNNNNNNNNNNNNNNNNNNNNNNNNNNNNNNNNNNNNNNNNNNNNNNNNNNNNNNNNNNNNNNNNNAAAGCAAAAUAAUUCAUUCAAACACACCCACUAAAAAAUCUUAUCUAAACCUACCACCAAAAUUGACCAUUAACUCAAACAAAGAAACAAGAUUAUUCAUAAGAAAAAGAACAAGAUUUCUUCAAAUCCAAAUCAAAAUCCCCACAGAAGUCCAAGUUGUUGAAAUCAAAAGCUUGGCUACGACUUUCGCCAAAAGCUCAUAUAUAUAUAUAUAUAUAAAAGUAAAAACACAUGUGUCCAAUAAUCACAAAGCACAAAUCUUUUUCAAAUAGUACAUGCACAUCCAUAAAUAGACCAAAUUUUAUUUUAAAGGUAGAUCAUCAGAUAAUCUUUCAUACGAAUGUAUUCAACUUCAGGGUAUAAACUCGAAGCUUCUACUUGAUCUUGGGCAGCGUCGAUGUCAAAGUUGGUGAGACAUCCUUCGUAGUAGAUGUGGUAGAGGUGCCCUAUUACGACCUGCUCCGCUACGUCCUUCCCUGUAUGACAAAACCGAAACUUAAUAAGAUGGGUUCUUUCAUGAAAUAUUUUUGAUGUAUCAUGUAUGAUGUUAUAUUAGAUGAGAAAAUGGAUGAGUUGCGAUAUUUUCCAUUUCACUAGCUAGAUUGACAAAGAUGUUGGUAUUGUUGGGUAAUAAUGUGUCGAAUUUAGGGUGUAAUUUCUGCCCAACCCUAUUCUUAGUUGCUACCUAGCCCCGAAUCGUGUUGAAUCAAGUGCGAACAGAAAAUCGAUUCGGAUGACUUACCUUCCAUGAGUGCAAGAAAGUCUUGUGAAGAAAGCUCAGUCUUUUGAAGUUGGUUGCCUGAGAGCUUUUCCCAAGUCUCCACUAAUUGCCUAUGAGUAAUCACAUUUUCCGGUGGCCGGAGGUACAUCGUCUUGUUAAGUGUCCGAUCAUCCUCUAUCGUCAUGAUCGUGUAAGUAGCGACAUCAUCUUCAUCCAUGUACACCACUGUAUCAAACAUCAAAUCAAUGAGAUUAUAUUAAUACUAAUCUAACAUUGAUUGAUUGAUUGAAUAACAAAAGUCAAUAAUUUGAUGUUUGUCCUUUUUUGUAUAUAGUUCAAUACCUUUGACGUUGCCAUCUCCAUAGAUGGUGACCUUAUCGGAAGGAGGGGUUAGAGGUCCGAGUUGCGAAAGAUUGCCGACGAAAUAACCUCCAAAGCAGUUGGCCGAGAUGUAAGUGUGGGGGAUAUUCGCGUCCUCGAUCGCUUUCCUCACCACCAUCUUCAGAUCGAACGUCUCCCUCCCUGGCUCCAAUGCAUCCCCCAUCCUCGCCGGGUCCAUCCCGAACUCCGAUGGAAUGAAUCUCUGCAUCGAUCAACAAUAUUCGAAACGGUUACACACACAAUUUCAUCGUUAAGACAAGGUCUUGUCGACAGAGACUGAUGCUAGCUAGCUCGCCCAAUCACGAGGGUAGCCACGUACCUUAACAUUUCCGGCCUCUUUGAUGGCCUCGACCAACUUGAGCUGGAGGAGGAGGCUGCGUGAAUGAGCCCCCGAGACGGUACAUAUCACGACAUCGACUAGCUUCACCGCUCGAACAAGGCUCUCGUGGUCAGAGAAGGAGGCCUCGACGAGGUGGGCGCCCUGUUUCUUGAAAGACAACAAGAGCUGGAAUUUUUCAAUAUCGAGCCCCGUCUCAGGUCGCUUGAGGACGUAAGUGUCGUGGCCGUGUUCGAUGCUAGCCUUGACGAUCCGCUUGCCUAUGUACCCGGUACCUCCCACCACCAGAACUCUGCACCGCCCCAUGAUCGAUCGAGAGGAUUGGUUGGAUUUCUCUUGUCGAA